UCCCGGGUCGACUAAGGGCAAGUCCUUGGUUUUUGGUGCCAAUGAUGGGGGUUCGAAUCCUCCCCCGGGAGC
rnacentral:tRNA from 1 species